rnacentral:lncRNA from 10 species
GGCACCAUGCCCAGCUAAAUUUUUUAUUUUUUGUAGAGACAGGGGACUUGCUAUGUUGCCCAGUCUGGUCUUGAACUCCUGGACUCAAGUGAUCCUCCUGCCUUAGCUUCUCAAAGUGUUGAGAUUACAGAUGUGAGCCACUGUUCCUGGACUAAGUUUCUUGCUUUGAUACAAUGUAUAUAAAAGUCUCUCUGAUCCAUAACUUAUACAUAUAUUCUUCUAAACUUUCUUCUGAGAUUCUGUUUGCUUGCUUUGUUUACUUUUGAAUAUUUAAUCUCUCUUAAAUUAUUAUGUCUAUUGUGAGACAGAUGUGGAAAUAGAAACAAUUUUUGUAUCAUUGGAUACCCUGAUAUGUAAAUAAAAUCCAAUCACAUCCUAUUGCAUCACAUAUGUUGCAUGUUUGAUUUGUUCCACAGUUCAUAGGUGAAAGAGUCAUCGCAUGCUUUUAUUUUUCUAAAUUCAUUUCAGUAAGACUCUGUCCCUUCCAUCAGGGUUGGUGGGAAGUCUAAUCUGUCAUUUUCUCAGGGAGCUCCUCUUACCCAUUUGGCAUUAUACAAGAACUCUAGGACCCAGUGGUCAGAGAUAAUGGGGAUGAAGUUCCUGGUUAUCAGUUAGUUGGGUUUAUCUCUGAGAACUUGGACUUCCUGACCAUGUAAUCCAUUUGUCAUGGGUAACUCCUCUGGCAGUGUUUAUAUUCUCCAUGGCCAGGUUUUAGCAGUGUUAUCUUCACUGAGAAUCCCACUCAGGAUGCUGAGUUCCUGGCCUGCCUGGGUUCAGGCAGAACCAUGGCUAUUGGCGCUCCUACCAGCUCCUGAGCUUUAGAUGACACCGGGACAAUCUUGAAGCCACAUGAUCUCAGAGGCACAUGUGGAAGCAGCCUGGAUCCUGAGCCAUUAUUUGGAGGAAUGUCACCCAAAUGGAGUCACCUGGCCAGGGACAUCAGCUUUGGAUUUUGUGUAAAUGAAAAAUAAAUGUCUAUUUGGUUAAGCCAGAUUGUUUUACCUGCCUUGUGCACACGUUUGUGCUUGUGGGUGUGUGCAUGCCUAUGUGUGGGUGUGUGCAUGUGGCUUAUGCCACAACAUAUAUUUCUUAAUGCAGAUUUUAGUCAAAAACAUGUGAAAGCAAG